rnacentral:rRNA from 1 species
UACAGAGGGGGCAAGCGUUGUUCGGAAUUACUGGGCGUAAAGGGCGCGUAGGCGGCCUGCUAAGUCGAACGUGAAAUCCCUGGGCUCAACCCAGGAACUGCGUCCGAGACUGGUUGGCUUGAAUCCGGGAGAGGGAUGUGGAAUUCCAGGUGUAGCGGUGAAAUGCGUAGAUAUCUGGAGGAACACCGGUGGCGAAGGCGGGUCUCUGGGCCGAUACUGACGCUGAGGUGCGAAAGCGUGGGGAGCAAACAGG